AAGGUAUCAGGGAUGACUUUGGCACUGUUGCCCGAGGCCGAAAGGCCGAGGGCAACAGUUCCAAAUGUCAGCCCUGAUACCGAGGGACAACAGUCUUGACUGUUCACCAAGCAUCCAUGAAAUAAGUGUUUUAUUACCUGAUCAAAUUUCCAACAUAGAAAUAACAGCAAACUAAAUUUUUAUUUACACACAACAGUAAUCGAUAAAAUAAAUAAUUUUGACUGUUUAACUGUAAAAUGACGUCAUUUUUUUCGACGAAAUGACGUCAUUAUUCCAGCGGGCAACAGUUCAAACUGUUGACCUGUCAACAGUUCGAUAUUCACCGGUAAUAGUCUAAAACAUUGCAAAUUUCUUUUUCGACGAGGAAAUAGCAAAAAAUAAUUAAUCAUCAUUUAUAUAAGACAUCAGGUACAAUAGCGUUGCUGUAGUCAGCAGGAGCUGCAGGGAUUGCUUACUCCUCAUCGGCUGCCAUAGGGGGAACUUCAGCAGUAGUCACGGCUGCUGUACAGGCUGCUGUGUCAAGGCCACAAACAACGGGGCUCAACUCAGCAGGGAUCAAGGUUACCAAACAGGCUGCGGUGUCUGGGGCACAGACCACGGGGCCUGACUCUGCGGGGGUCACCAAUGCUUUAUAUGGGGCUUUGUCCAAAACGCAAGCAUCAGCCUCUUAUUCAAUGGCUGCAAAAGUAAGUGCUUCUUCUAAGGUCCCGGGUGCUUUACAGACUGCAGCCUCCUCCUCAUGGUCCGCCAAAAAAGGAGCUUCGGCGUGGGUCGGGCCGACUUUAACAGCCGUUGUAUAUGGGACAAAGACCGCAGAGUCAAAGAAGACACAGGAUGGGCAGGCAAAUGGUAACAAUGGAAAAGAAAAUGAUUAAUGACAGCUUUUUGGCAUAUAGUUAACUGUUUUGCAUUUAAUUACCUGCGCUAUAUGUGUGAUUUCUGUUAUCAUAAACAACUCUUUAUCAUUAUGGAUUGCCGUAUCUAGUUUACAGUAUUUAUUGUUGAUUGAAAUGGAGUUGAAAUGAAAAAUUAUACAACUUUUAGGUGUGGAAUGUUUGUUUUUGCCUUAAGUGUCCGUGUAAUUGUUUCCUAUGUGACAAAAUAGCUGUAUAGUUAACAUAGCUGAUUUCAAGCUUUACAUUUGGAAGAUUAAGUAAAUGAAAAUAAAAGUGAAGGCUGUUUUGUGGCAGGUGUUUUGAAAGCUCUUUUCUUUUGUGCAGUGUUUCUUUGUGCUAUAUGUUACGUAUAUAUAUAUGAUAUCUAUGUUUGUUUAUUGAUGUAAGAACUGUUUGCUUCAAAAUUGGUGUCAUUUACAAAUGUAAUCAUUUAGUGCGCCAUACUCAUAAAAAACGUUCAGUUUAACCGGAUUUUUUGUCGCUGUCAGCGUGUAACUUGCUGUCUGUUCAGGUUUCAUGUUGUUUGCUAGUCAUCAGUACCUGAGGGUCAAAAAUGAAGCCUCUAAAACUUGAAUCUAGUAAAAAAAGGUCUUUAAAAAAUAACUUUCUAAGGGACUACAAAUAAGUCAAAAGUACAUAUCUAAGUGGUUAAGGGUUAAGUAAUUUCGACUGUAAAGGAAAUGUGCAAUACACUGGUCUGUAAAGGCUUCCAUCAUAGGGCCUGCACAGUUUAUUUUGAUAUGUAUUUCUUAUAUUGCUGAAAGAUGCAAUAGCUCCUUGGUGCUUAACAUUAACGUUACUAAACUUGAAAAUCGAACCAAACAUAAAAUAAGGUUAAAUGUUGAAAGAUAUCAGAUCAUAAGUUUAUGUUGCAGUUUGAUUAAUUUUCAUUUAGAUAGGCUCUACUUUAUUGAUAUGUAAAUUUCUAUAAGGUAAUUAUAUGUUAAAUGUGUCUUGGCCUUAAAUUCUUCAAAAAUAUACAAAUCUAAUGCACUGAGUGUGCUAUAUCAUUUUACAAUAUUAUGUUGAAAGUUUCUAUAUGAACGGUUAUCAAUACUACCAAAAAAGUAAAGAAAAGGUUUAUGUAUUUGAAGGAGUAAGGAAAUGGGCUUUGAAUGUACCUUAUGAAAGAAACUAAUGUCUGCUUUUGGUUGUGCAUUUAUAAACCUGUUACAAAUGUUUAUACAUCAAUUAAUUUGCUGAAGCAAUUGUUAUUUACCGGUAAUAUAAUGUGCUUGCUAGUCAAAAUUUGCAAUUUACAACUGUAUUUAAUUUGAAUGUUUGAAAUAAAUAUAGUACAAAUCCA